rnacentral:rRNA from 1 species
GACGUAGGAUGCAAGCAUUGUUCGGAUUCAUUGGGCGUAAAGAGCUCGUAGGUGGCUCUGUAAGUCGGAGGUGAAAGCCCACGGCUCAACCGUGGAAACGCCUUCGAAACUGUGGAGCUUGAGGCUGGGAGAGGAAAUCGGAAUUCCUGGUGUAGCGGUGAAAUGCGUAGAUAUCAGGAGGAACACCGGUGGCGAAGGCGGAUUUCUGGACCAGUUCUGACACUGAGGAGCGAAAGCCAGGGGAGCAAACAGG